rnacentral:rRNA from 1 species
AACGCGAAGAACCUUACCUACCCUUGACAUGGGGAACCGCUGAGAGGUGGGAGUGCGAAAGAGAACCGGCGCACAGGUGCUGCAUGGCUGGAGCGUGGUGAGAUGUUGGGUUAAGCCGCAACGAGCGCAACCCGUUAUGUUGCCAGCGGUGGCCGGGGACAUAGGAGACUGCCGGGGAACGGAGGAAGGUGGGGACGACGAAAAAUGCCCCUUAUGUUGGGCUACGCAUGCUACAAUGGCCGGUACAAAGGGUUGCGAUACUGUGAGGUGGAGCUAACCAAAAAGCCGGAGUGGAUUGGGGUGCAACGACCCCAUGAAGGGAGGCUAGUAAGCAGAAGCAACGCUGCGGUGAAUACGUCCGGGUUGUACACACCG